ensembl:lncRNA
CACAGCCAGAAGAGGACUGGCCACCCCACAUAGCCUGGUUCCUCUCUAGGUUUCUUCCUAGGUUUUGGCCUUUCUAGGGAGUUUUUCCUAGCCACCGUGCUUCUACACCUGCAUUGCUUGCUGUUUGGGGUUUUAGGCUGGGUUUCUGUACAGCACUUUGAGAUAUCAGCUGAUGUACGAAGGGCUAUAUAAAUAAAUUUGAUUUGAUUUGAUUUGAACAGAUCAGGCCUCUCUCACUGAGCAGACAGUGGUCCUGGGAUGAACAGAUCAGGCCUCUCUCAUUGGGCAGGCAGGGGUCCUGUGAUGGACAGCUCAGGCCUCUCUCAUUAGGCAGACAGGGAUCCUGGGAUGGACAGCUCAGGCCUCUCUCAUUAGGCAGACAGGGGUCCUGUGAUGGACAGCUCAGGCCUCUCUCAUUAGGCAGACAGGGGUCCUGGGAUGGACAGCAAGCACAGCUUCCCCAUGUACAGAGCUGAUCAAGGGUGAUCUCAUUUAAGUUUUUUGAAAAGGGACAUGUUUGUUAAAAUGGGUAGUGAAUUUAAUAUCCUUUUAUGUAAUGUUCUGAGUUAUGAUGCUAUCAUUUCGUUGAUGUUGCUACUUAUUAAAUGUGUUUUCUGCUAUCUUUGUACUCAAUUUUAAAU